rnacentral:rRNA from 1 species
GACAGAGGUGCCGAGCGUUAGGCGGAAUCACUGGGCUUAAAGCGUGUGUAGGCGGAUCGUUAAGUACCUUGUGAAAUCCCACGGCUCAACCGUGGAACUGCUGGGUAUACUGGCGAUCUUGGGCCAACUAGGGGCAGCCGGAACAAGCGGUGGAGCGGUGAAAUGCGUAGAUAUCUGGAGGAACACCGGUGGCGAAGGCGGCAUCCUGGACCGGCAUUGACGCUGAGGCGCGAAAGCUAGGGGAGCAAACGGG